AUUGUUUUCCAGGUAUAUGCAUCUGGAUAGUCAGAGUAACGUCGUGGUAUACCAGCUAGGCCUAAGAAAUGUUGAGGGGGAAAAAGGUUAUAUUAACUCCUGCAAAUAUUACUCCGAAAUGAACUUUUGCUCAAAUUUGGUGUAAUGAGUAUCCAGUGAAAAGUGAGAAUUAAUGGAAAAAGAAGGAAACAUAAGGGUUAUGUGAUUGGCUUGAAACUAAUUUAAGGGGGUUUGAUUCCCUCCUUUCUUGGGUUUGUACAUGGGCUGGUUCUUCAUAAGUGUGAUAUGGGACUGGGCAGCCAUGCAAUCACUCUACAUUAGUAGUUGUGAGUUCAACUGUUAUUACUUUUCGUUUUGAAGAAAAUGCUUCUCAGAUAAUGAAUAUUAUUAUGAUUACUGUUACUAGAGAGAUUUGAGAUCCGAUUGAUGAAAUAGAAUUUUCCAGGAUAGAUAGUAAGCAUCUGGCUAGUCAGAGUA